CCUUUAUAUCCAGGGCCACACACACGCUACAAUGGUCGGCACAAUAGGUUGCCAAGUCGUGAGACGGAGCCAAUCCUCCAAAGCCGGCCUCAGUUCAGAUUGCAGGCUGCAACUCGCCUGCAUGAAGUUGGAGUUGCUAGUAAACGCAGGUCAGCUAUACUGCGUUGAAUACGUUCCCGGGGAUU
rnacentral:rRNA from 1 species